rnacentral:rRNA from 1 species
UUAUAAUUAAGAUUAAUUAAUAAAAGAUUAAAUGAGAACAUUAAAUUUAAAAAAUUUGGCGGUAUUUUAAAUAGUUAGAGGAAUUUGUCGAUUAAAUGAUACCCCACGUUUGGAGUGUCCUAAUUAAGUUUUUAUAUAUUGUUGUAUAAAAAUUAUUUUAUAAGAAUAAUAAUUAAAAUAUUUAAUUUAAUUUGAAUAUAAAUCAAAAUGUAGGAUUAUUAGGUAGAUAUGAAUUACAAUUUAAUGUAAUAUUGGAAUUAUUUUUUUAAUUAAAAUAAAGAAAGAGGAUUUAAGAGUAAAUUUAAAGAAAUUUUUAAAUUGAAAUAUUAAUUAAAAUAUG